rnacentral:rRNA from 1 species
GGACAACGCUGGCGGCGUGCUUAACACAUGCAAGUCGAACGAAGCACUUAAAGCGGAGACUUCGGUCAAAGCUUUUUGUGACUUAGUGGCGGACGGGUGAGUAACACGUGAGUAACCUGCCUCUUAGUGGGGGAUAACACACCGAAAGGUGUGCUAAUACCGCAUAAUGUAGUUUUACCGCAUGGUAAGAUUACCAAAGAUUUAUCGCUUGAAGAUGAGCUCGCGUCCGAUUAGAUAGUUGGUGAGGUAACGGCCCACCAAGUCGACGAUCGGUAGCCGGACUGAGAGGUUGAACGGCCACAUUGGGACUGAGACACGGCCCAGACUCCUACGGGAGGCAGCAGUGGGGAAUAUUGCACAAUGGGGGAAACCCUGAUGCAGCGACGCCGCGUGAGCGAAGAAGAUCUUCGGAUUGUAAAGCUCUGUCUUAGGGGACGAUAAUGACGGUACCCUGAGAGGAAGCCACGGCUAACUACGUG